CAUCUCCCAACGCCGGCGAUUAUUACCACCGUCAACCUCGCCGCCGGCCAGAGAGAAAAAUGGCGGCGUAUCACCAACCGUACUACGUCUACAAUCCUCAUCCUCUUCCGCAACUCGCCGACGAACCUGGGGCGAUCAACACACUCUUCGUCUCCGGCUUGCCUGACGACGUCAAGGCUCGUGAGAUCCACAACCUCUUCCGCCGUCGUCCCGGAUUCGAGUCUUCACAGCUCAAGUACACCGGACGCGGCGACCAGGUUGUUGCGUUUGCAACGUUCUCGAGUCAUGGGUUCGCUAUGGCUGCAAUGAAUGAGCUAAAUGGUGUGAAGUUUGAUCCUCAGACAGGAUCGACUCUGCAUAUAGAAGUAGCUAGAUCAAACUCUAGAAGGAAAGAAAGGCCAGGAAGUGGGCCUUAUGUGGUGAUUGAUAACAGAAACAAGGAACCAUCUAAAUCUCAGGACGGCCAGAGUGGUGAAGGGGAAAGCGAUCCUGAUGAGGCGGAGGAACCGGGGAAUAGCAAUUCUCCAAAGGGAAACGAUAGUACCAAAAGCGAAGUGGACUCUGAUCAAGAUAGUAAAGCACCACCUACUAGUGGGCAUUUGGAAAAAGCAUUUGAAGGAGGUUCUGGUGCUCGACCAUGUUCCACCUUGUUUAUAGCCAAUCUAGGGCCUAAUUGUACAGAAGAUGAACUCAAACAACUCCUGUCUAGGUAUCCUGGUUUCAAUAUUCUGAAAAUCCGAGCAAGAGGCGGAAUGCCAGUUGCAUUUGCUGAUUUUGAGGAAAUUGAACAAGCGACUUAUGUCAUGAAUGAUCUUCAAGGCAACCUCCUAUCGUCUUCAGACCGAGGCGGCAUGCAUAUAGAAUAUGCAAGAUCCAAGAUGAGGAAACAGUAGAAGAUUCUCAUAAACAGUAAGCCUAGCUUCCGAGAACAUGAUUGAGGGAUCAUAAGCAAAGGAACAUGUGUUUCUUAUUUUUAAAGUCACCACUAGUUUAAUUGUUGUCAUGAAGAUGGGUCCUUCUAUGCUGACACUUCGAAAUAUGUAUGAUCUUGGAUAGAGUGAAUCAAGUUCUUGGUCUUGUCAUGGUCCCCUGAAGGUCAAUUAAUCACUGCCCCCACCCAUGUCCUCUCCAGUUUUGGGCUUUUCUUUGUGUGUGUAUAUAUAGCAUCUUAUCUUUGUUCAAUUGAGAAAUAAAUGUUGAUUGGUGAUGCGGAUAGGCAGAAAAGAUACCCCAAGGCAAGGACCCAAUGCAUCACUGUAUUGGCAGGCAACUCAGUUUUUCAUGCAUCAUUAUUACAUUGGCAAAGACUUGCACUGUCGUGCUUGUAAGGAAAGCCUUCAGUGUUUUGUUUUCUCUUGUUCCUCUCUCUGUGUGUACACACUGCAUAACAAAUCUCUUGACCCUCCAAAACCAAUAAUUCAAAUUCAAAAGAAGAUUGAAGCCUCUACUUGUUUUGUCA